GUAUUUUCGAGUCCCGCACAGUACUCAAACCACAAUGGACUGGAGUCUGCAUUUCUUUCUUUUCCUUGUUUUCUUUCUCCGCGCCUCCCCCCCCCCCUUUUGGUGGCCCCCGAACUGCAAUUUCGGUUUAGGGAACUCUCAGUGAGGAAAUUCCAUCCACCAACGCAGAAAGAUAACUGCUCAACAGCUAGUAAUCUUAAAUUGGCUGGAAGUACGGAGAAGUGAAGUCACUUGCUCACAAGUCCCCCAGCCAAGAAAGUCGGAGAAAAAACUAUGAAAAGCCAGAUCUUUUUGAUUCGAGGCCGGCUGGAUUCAAUUCUCUCAUCUAUCUAUCAGUCUGGGGAAGGGAGGUGACCGUGCCGCCUCCGACUGCCUAGGAGCAGGAUGUCUUGGGACUAAGGAAAGGUCAGGGGAAGGGAGAACAGGGGUGGGAGGAGGCGGCGACGCCAAGCUAAAGGGAAGGCAGCAGUAAAAUCCCUGGAAAUUUGGAGCCGCUCACUCUUCGAAAGCGCCGAAAGGCUUUUUUUUUUUUUUUUUUGUUCCAAAGCGCUUUCCCUAAAGCGCCCCAGGAAGACGUUAGUAAUCUCCCUCCCCUGAGCGCCCAACCCGGUGCAAAGCACUCAUGUGCCCGGUGGUUUAAAAGUUUGCCAAGUCGGAGGCGCAGCUCAGUCUAAGUAAGUUUCAGAGUAUCAAAGCUUCUCGGUUUCAGAGAGAUGCAACCUGCCCAAUUAGAGGUAGAGAUGAGGCCAAGGAACCUGAAGUCAUUUUCCUAAAAUGUACAG